rnacentral:rRNA from 1 species
UGGGUGGAAGUAAACGCGUGGGUAACCUGCCCUGUACACACGGAUAACAUACCGAAAGGUAUACUAAUACGGGAUAACAUACGAAAGUCGCAUGGCUUUUGUAUCAAAGCUCCGGCGGUACAGGAUGGACCCGCGUCUGAUUAGCUAGUUGGUAAGGUAAUGGCUUACCAAGGCAACGAUCAGUAGCCGACCUGAGAGGGUGAUCGGCCACACUGGAACUGAGACACGGUCCAGACUCCUACGGGAGGCAGCAGUGGGGAAUAUUGCACAAUGGGCGAAAGCCUGAUGCAGCAACGCCGCGUGAGCGAUGAAGGCCUUCGGGUCGUAAAGCUCUGUCCUCAAGGAAGAUAAUGACGGUACUUGAGGAGGAAGCCCCGGCUAACUACGUGCCAGCAGCCGCGGUAAUACRUAGGGGGCUAGCGUUAUCCGGAAUUACUGGGCGUAAAGGGGUGCGUAGGUGGUUUUUUAAGUCAGAAAGUGAAAAGGCUACGGGCUUCACCCGUAGUAAGCUGUUGAAAACUACAAAACUUGAUUGCAGGAGAGGAAAAGAAGAAGUUCUUAUUGGGACGGGUGAAUUGCGGUAGAUUUUAAGAGGAGACCCGAGAGAGAAAGCCGUCUCUCUUGGUCUGGAUUCGUUA